UAGUAACGGCGAGUGAAGAGGGAAGAGCCCAGCGCCGAAGCCUGCAGCCGCUUGGCUGUUAGGCAAUGUGGUGUUUGGGUCGGCUCGCGGGAUUGCCACUCCACUCGAAGUCCAGCAUUGAGUAUGGUCACUGGAUUUGUCCCAGAGAGGGUGAAAGGCCCGUACGGGUGGAGGUUCAGACAUGUAAGGCAGUUCACCAGGCCGGCCCGAGAGUCGGGUUGUUUGAGAAUGCAGCCCAAAGAGGGUGGUAAACUCCAUCCAAGGCUAAAUACGUGCACGAGUCCGAUAGCGAACAAGUACCGUGAGGGAAAGUUGAAAAGUACUCUGAAGAGAGAGUAAACAGUACGUGAAGCCGCAUGCAGGUAAACGGGUGGCGUCAAGCUGCAGGUUCGGAGAAAUCAGCUGACUGGGUGCUUUGCCUGAUGUAGCCGGUUGAGUAGUCCGUUGGAAGUGGUGGGUCUGGUCGUGAGGCCAGAUGUGUGUACCGGGUGGUUGCCGGAGCAUGCUACUCGUCUGAAUGGCUGCCUAGUCAGUGCACUUUCUCUGUGACUAGCACCACGACCGGUGGGAUCGCCAGUCUGCCAUGGCCGAGUCGUGCCUGCGAUGGUCUUUCGGCCAUCUGGGUGCGAUCACAGGCAAACUCAGUGUACGGCGCAGAGGUGCUCUGGUGUCUUUGCGUGCAAUCGGCUACUGGUUGUGAACGGGUCUGCCCGGUGGUUGUUGUAGCCGCUGCCGGGUGAUCCGGUGGACCAUGGUGGUAUGAAUAACUGUGCGAGGCACCGAGAGCUUCGGCCUCAAAUGCAGUCCGCAUGCACGUUGCAAGUGGAGGGGGGCAGGGGUGCCGCCUGCUCACUGUUGGGUCUGACUGCUGUGUUGCCUGCAAAAAGUGGGCCCGGUGGUGGCCUGAUGUGAGGUUGGUGGUGCUUGGCGCUUCCUGUGUGGGUUGCAGUGGGCCGGAAAGUCUGUGGUGUGGUGGUAGACCAGCCACCUGACCCGUCUUGAAACACGGACCAAGGAGUUUAACAUGUGUGCGAGUCAAAGGGUCCUACGAAACCCCGAGGCGCAGUGAAAGUGAGGCUUCGAUAAUUUCUCGAAGUAAGGUGGGAUCCUGUCGUUACUCGCAGCAGCCUAUGCUAGCAUCGGGCUAAGAGCGGUGGGCGCACCACCGGCCCGUCUCAUGAUGUGGCCACCGGGUGGCUGUGAUCGCUGUUUGCUUUUGGCGUCGUCAGCGUUCGCGGAGCC
rnacentral:rRNA from 1 species